GCUGGCGUAGCUCAACUGGUAGAGCAGCUGACUUGUAAUCAGCAGGUUGCGGGUUCAAGUCCCAUCGCCAGCU
rnacentral:tRNA from 1 species